ensembl:antisense
UCCUGCUCCGCCACAGCAGGCUUUGGGCAGAGCCAGGAGCUAGCUAGCUUAUGGAGUUUGGGUGUUUACCCCUUGGUGCUCAGGUGCUUUCGGCCCCCAGUGAAACCGUGCAAACAACUUCGUAGGGGGGUUCUGCAGGGUGGCCCGGAGAAUGUGGAGGAGCCGGCCGGUGGUGGAGGUAGGCAGGAGGGGUACACACCAGUGUCAGUUCAGGAGGCCUGCACAGGAAUGUCUGCUUCUGAUAACAGAAACUGAAGCGAUUCCCAAUUUUAUUUUUUUCUUUUUCUUUCCCCCUUGAGUAGCUUAAUGUCUUUUCUGAGUAAAGGAAGAGACAACUUCGAAUGGGUGGAGAUGGAGGUGGAGGAAGAAGCUGAAAUCAAUGUCAGAUCUGUUUGGUUCCAGACACCCAGGGAGCUCUUAAUAGAUAUACAAAUCCAGCAGACAGCACUAUGCAUUGACGCCAGGUGGAGACCUCAGCUUUCCCUUGAGAGAUUUAAUCCAGAUUCUGGACAUGGAAGCAGGAAGACCACUCAUUAAAGGUCUGCCUGGGAAAUUUAAUGAGGCCAUCAGCUCAAAAUAAAAGAAGUAAAAAGAGGUCUAGUGGCAUAGUGCAAUAGUAGCAUGUUCACCUAGCAUGUGCCCUAUCCCAGCAUCAUUAAAUAGGCAAAUAAAUAAUCAGCAGACUAUUGGCAACUUCUGAACACAGAGGCAACCAGGCCCGUGGGAGAGUGUGGACUGGUUUCCCCUCUGUAAGAGCAGCCCAGGUUCUCUCCUCUUCAAGCCUAUUUCCAACUGAUUGUUUGUAACCUCUCCACUGUUUCCUCCAAAGACAAGGAAGGAUGAGACCUGAAAGUCCCCUUUGGAAGAAAAGAGGGGCUGUCUGGCUGGGAAAGCAAUUGGGCACCUUGAGCUCCAGCCCCAAUAUUGACUUUGUAGGUUUGGGCAGGACUCUAAACAUCUUUGAGAUUUGCACAGGCGUGAAAUGUUAUAAUAACAUGUAUCUCCCUGGGCUACUGUGAAGAGCACAUGAAGAAGAACAUGUGAAUCCUUCUGAGAGUCAUAAAAUAGAUGGUUCACUCUGCCGUACUUUAAAAGGGUGCACUCCAGAUACCCCAUGGUGGAGCAAGGGUGUGAGACAUUCCAUGUACACCCUGUACUUCAAGAACUGAAGAAACUUCUGAAGGUACAAGACCCAGUCUGCACAUUCCAGAGGGAUGAUGAGUCCCUGAAGAAGAUAUUUACUGGCUCCGGAGCAGAACCAAUCAUUCUCAGAGUGGUGUGACAUUUAGAGAGUGUCAUGAGGUGUCACAGGAGAUGGCUUGGAGAAGCCAGCGCAGGCUUUGAACCUCCCACCUUGAUCCUGGGACAACCUCACCUCAGGAAGGACAACAAAGGCACCGGUCAUCACUGUGAGCACUAUGUUGAUCCCAAAUAACCACCUCAGGAAGAUGAAGUAGGAGGCCACGCCAGACCCGAAGUGACCUAUGGAAAGACAACGGAGAGUGGCUCUGCUCAACCCUCACAGCACAGAAAGCCUUGUCACCCACCUUCAGCAGUAGCAAACACAGGAAGAGUGAUGUCAUAUGGUGCCUCCCACCCCCCACUGUUGGCUGCUUAACUGGGUCAGCAUCUUGUGCCUGGUCCCUGGUUCUGUAUACAGCUCUGGUUGACCCAAACACUGACAACCUUCCCAGUGCUGUACCCAUUUGAAUAUGCUGAGUCAAACUUACUAACUCAUGGGUUAAGAGACUUUCAUAUUCUGUAAUAUGCUGCAUUACUUUGCAUAGUCCAAGGUUUUUCUAAGGUCCUUUUGUCUUAAUUUCAGCAUGGAAACUAUUGUGGUGUUUACUGGUGUAGUCACAUAAAGGGUAUGUAGAAGCUCU